AUACGUAGGGGACAAGCGUUGUCCGGAAUGACUGGGCGUAAAGGGCGCGUAGGCGGUCUAUUAAGUCUGAUGUGAAAGGUACCGGCUCAACCGGUGAAGUGCAUUGGAAACUGGUAGACUUGAGUAUUGGAGAGGCAAGUGGAAUUCCUAGUGUAGCGGUGAAAUGCGUAGAUAUUAGGAGGAACACCAGUGGAGAAGGCGGGUUACUUAACAAAUACUGACGCUGAGGUUCGAAAGCGUGGGGAGCGAACAGGAGUAGAUACCCUGGUAGGCCACGCCGUAAACGAUGAAUGCUAGGUGUUGGGGAAACUCAGUGCCGCAGUUAAAACAAUAAGCAUUCCGCCUGGGGAGUACGACCGCAAGGUUGAAACUCAAAGGAAUUGACGGGG
rnacentral:rRNA from 1 species